CAUGGCUCAGGACGACGCUGGCGGCGUGCCUAACACAUGCAAGUCGAGCGAGGAGAUCCUUCGGGAUGAUCCUAGCGGCGGACGGGUGAGUAACACGUGGGCAACCUGCCUCAUAGAGAGGAAUAGCCUUCCGAAAGGGAGAUUAAUACCUCAUAACAUUGCAGUUUCGCAUGGAACAGCAAAUUAAAGGAGUAAUCCGCUAUGAGAUGGGCCCGCGGCGCAUUAGCUAGUUGGUGAGGUAACGGCUCACCAAGGCGACGAUGCGUAGCCGACCUGAGGAGGGUGAUCGGCCACAGUUGGGACUGAGACACGGCCCAGACUCCGUACGGGAGGCAGCAGGUGGGGAAUAUUGCACAAUGGGGGAAACCCUGAUGCAGCAACGCCGCGUGAGUGAUGACGGCCUUCGGGUUGUAAAGCUCUGUCUUCAGGGACGAUAAUGACGGUACCUGAGGAGGAAGCCACGGCUAACUACGUGCCAGCAGCUGC
rnacentral:rRNA from 1 species